AUUGAACGCUGGCGGCAGGCCUAACACAUGCAAGUCGAGCGGAUGAAGGGAGCUUGCUCCUGGAUUCAGCGGCGGACGGGUGAGUAAUGCCUAGGAAUCUGCCUGGUAGUGGGGGAUAACGUCCGGAAACGGGCGCUAAUACCGCAUACGUCCUGAGGGAGAAAGUGGGGGAUCUUCGGACCUCACGCUAUCAGAUGAGCCUAGGUCGGAUUAGAUAGUUGGUGGGGUAAAGGCCUACCAAGGCGACGAUCCGUAACUGGUCUGAGAGGAUGAUCAGUCACACGGGAGCGGGAACACGGUCCAGAGUCCUGCGGGAGGCAGCAGUGGGGAAUGUUGGACAAUGGGGGAAAGCCUGAUCCAGCCAUGCCGCGUGUGUGAAGAAGGUCUUCGGAUUGUAAAGCACUUUAAGUUGGGAGGAAGGGCAGUAGGUUAAUACCUUGCUGUUUUGACGUUACCAACAGAAUAAGCACCGGCUAACUUCGUG
rnacentral:rRNA from 1 species